UGGGGAAUUGUUCACAAUGGGCGCAAGCCUGAUGACGCAACGCCGCGUGGGGGAUGAAGGCCUUCGGGUCGUAAACCCCUGUCGAAUGGGACGAAAAGCCCGCGAUUUAACAAAACGCGGGACUGACGGUACCGUUAAAGGAAGCCACGGCUAACUCUGUGCCAGCAGCCGCGGUAAUACAGAGGUGGCAAGCGUUGUUCGGAAUUACUGGGCGUAAAGGGCGCGUAGGCGGCCUUCUAAGUCAGACGUGAAAUCCCCCGGCUUAACCUGGGAACUGCGUCUGAUACUGGGAGGCUUGAGUAUGGGAGAGGGAUGUAGAAUUCCAGGUGUAGCGGUGAAAUGCGUAGAUAUCUGGAGGAAUACCGGUGGCGAAGGCGGCAUCCUGGACCAUAACUGACGCUGAGGCGCGAAAGCUAGGGGAGCAAACGGG
rnacentral:rRNA from 1 species